rnacentral:rRNA from 1 species
CCUACGGGGAGCAGCAGUGGGGAAUAUUGGGCAAUGGGCGCAAGCCUGACCCAGCAACGCCGCGUGAAGGAAGAAGGCCCUCGGGUUGUAAACUUCUUUUAUUCGGGACGAAACAAAUGACGGUACCGAAUGAAUAAGCCACGGCUAACAACGUGCUAGCAGCCGUGGUAAUCAGGAGGUGGCAGACGUUAUCCGGAUUUACUGGGUGUAAGGGGUGGGGAGGCGGGAGAGGAAGUCAGACGUGAAAGUCCAGGGCUCAACGCUUGAACUGCGUUUGAAACUGUUCUUAUUGAGUGAGGGAGAGGCAGGCGGAAUUCCGGGUGUAGCGGUGAAAUGCGUAGAUAUACGGAGGAACACCAGUGGCGAAGGCGGCCUGCUGGACAUUAACUGACGCUGAGGCGCGAAAGCGUGGGGAGCAAACAGGAUUAGAUACCCCAGUAGUC